rnacentral:rRNA from 1 species
CACGAAGUUAGCCGGGGCUUAUUCCUCCGGUACCGUCAUUAUCGUCCCGGAUAAAAGAGCUUUACAACCCUAAGGCCUUCAUCACUCACGCGGCAUGGCUGGAUCAGGCUUGCGCCCCAUUGUCCAAUAUUCCCCACUGCUGCCUCCCGUAGGAGUCUGGGCCCGUGUCUCAGUCCCAGUGUGGCUGAUCAUCCUCUCAGACCAGCUACUGAUCGUCGCCUUGGUGAGCCGUUACCUCACCAACUAGCUAAUCAGACGCGGGCCGAUCCUCCGGCAGCAAGCCUUUCCCCAAAAGGGCGUAUCCGGUAUUAGCUCAAGUUUCCCUGAGUUAUUCCGAACCAGAGGGCACGUUCCCACGCGUUACUCACCCGUCCGCCGCUGACACCGAAGUGCCCGCUCGACUUGCAUGUGUUAAGCCUGCCGCCAGCGUUCGCUCUGAGCCAGGAUCAAACUAC